GAUGAACGCUGGCGGCGUGCCUAAUACAUGCAAGUCGAGCGAACAGACGAGGAGCUUGCUCCUUUGACGUUAGCGGCGGACGGGUGAGUAACACGUGGGUAACCUACCUAUAAGACUGGGAUAACUUCGGGAAACCGGAGCUAAUACCGGAUAAUAUUUCGACCCGCAUGGUUCGAUAGUGCAAGAUGGCUUUGCUAUCCCUUAUAGCUGGACCUGCGCCGUAUUAGCUAGUUGGUAAGGUACCGGCUUACCAAGGCAACGAUACGUAGCCGACCUGAGAGGGUGAUCGGCCACACUGGAACUGAGACACGGUCCAGACUCCUACGGGAGGCAGCAGUAGGGAAUCUUCCGCAAUGGGCGAAAGCCUGACGGAGCAACGCCGCGUGAGUGAUGAAGGUCUUCGGAUCGUAAAACUCUGUUAUUAGGGAAGAACAAACGUGUAAGUAACUGUGCACGUCUUGACGGUACCUAAUCAGAAAGCCACGGCUAACUACGUG
rnacentral:rRNA from 1 species